rnacentral:rRNA from 1 species
UACAGAGGUGGCAAGCGUUGUUCGGAAUUACUGGGCGUAAAGGGCGCGUAGGCGGCCUACUAAGUCAGACGUGAAAUCCCCCGGCUUAACCUGGGAACUGCGUCUGAUACUGGAAGGCUUGAGGAUGGGAGAGGGAUGCGGAAUUCCAGGUGUAGCGGUGAAAUGCGUAGAUAUCUGGAGGAACACCGGUGGCGAAGGCGGCAUCCUGGACCAAUAUUGACGCUGAGGAGCGAAAGCUAGGGGAGCAAACGGG